CCUGGUGCCACUUCAUCACUCAAGCGCUGGAGUAUUUAGCGUCAUUUCUGUUUCCCUGUUCGAUGUGCUUUGACCUCUGUGGACAAAGUGAACCCAGAGAGGACGAUAAGUCUGACCAAACCAGCAUGUCUCAGAGGCUGAGGGAUAAUCCUGCAGUGUGCCACUUGAAUAGCUUUAGAGGGGGAGGGUGCUAGCUAGGAAGACAAGCAAAGAAGCGGAUAGGACGAGUGAGACAGACAAAGUGGAGAGAGGAAUGUGAGGUUGAAAUGAAAGUGUAAUUAGGACAUUAUAUACUGACAGGAUAGCUUGAGGUUGUUUCUGCAUAGGGACAUGUGCAUUACUGUUUAUAGAUGAAGGGCUCAGUUUCAUCACAAAUGCACUGCUGGCACAUUGAGCACUGCACUCCUGUGACUGAGCUCACAGCAACAUGAUGCAACUAAAUGCUGCAGGUACCUGAUGAACAUGCUUUUAAGAGUUAGAGAACCCCUGAUCCAGGUGAUAAGAAAUGUUCCUGACACAGUCAGAAGGUCCAGUGUUGUCAAGGCUUUUAAGUGAAUGGAAACCACAACAAACAUGUAAGCUUGUUACAAUAAGAAGAUUUCAAAGAGAUAUACUAACUUUACCAUGGCACACUACCAAGCUCACAGUGUCCUGACUGAUUCGACAACAGCAUUUCAAACGUCGCUGACCCAAUUUAGUGAUUUUCUCUCCAGUAACAUAAGCAAAUCAACUAAGGCUGCACUUAAAACUAAUGUAGCAUGCCAAAUAUUUUGAGAACUACUAAAAUCCCACAGCUGAUGUUUUGUGGUUGGUUUACGAUGCAUUGUGGUUGUCUGUCAGUGCAAGAGAAGGCAGCUGCCUUAUCAAACAAUCACAGAGUACAAGAGGACACACAAGGAGAGAGACAGAGGGAGGUCUUUCAUUGGGAUAUGAGCAAGGAGAGAGCGACAGAGAGGAACAGGGAGGAGGAGAGGCGAGUAGGGGAGAUGAAGAUUGAGGGGGGAGGCAGGGAGUGACAAGAGAGAGGUGAGGGAGAAGAGGAAGGAUGCAGCAAGCUCAGGACGUAGCGUGGAGCUGGUCCGAGAGCAAGAUUGUUGCUGAGUGGAAUAGAGAGAGCCAUAGGGCCAGAACGGCAGCUGAACACAUCAGGACAGAGAUGUGAUUCAUCUCACGGUGCAGCGCAGACUAAGCAGGCCGUUGGAUGUUGCCAGGAGACAGGGCCACUUUGUGCAGACUUCACACACGCCGUAACAGCAGAAGCCGUCAUUUAGCUGGCCAUGUGACCGAUGCUUUAGAUGGGAGAAAGAAGGCUGGAAUGCAGUGUCAGCUGUCCAUCCCACAUUUGACUAGCCGAGCAUCCAUGAGUAUGGACAUGCACCAACACACAAGAGGGAAACUUGUGAGUGCAUACUGAACCAAAAGACAGAGGGACAGAGUACUCUAGAGAACUCGUUCAAAGAAGAUGCAGUAACAGAGCUAAAUAAAGAGGCAGAGCAGUAGAAUAGAGAGAGGAGGAAAAACCGGUGAGAGUGGAGGUUGAGGGUGAUCUUGUUUUGUAUUUAUCAGUUGAACGUGUAGUGCCGUGAGCCCUCUUUACUGCUCGCUGGGGCAUAGAGUAGGAGAGUCAAAUCGGAACUGAAGUGUUGAUCCAAAUGGCAACAGUAUUUAGGAAAAGCCCUCAUCUUCUCUCUCUCCUCCAUCAGCUAACUCCUAGCCCAUCCAACAGAGGAAAGCCCCUGAAACUGCUGUAUGGGUGGAUAUUUUUUUAUUUGCUAAGAAACAUGAUGAAAAAACAAGUAGAAAACAAAUAGUCUGACACGAGCAAGGAAGAUAAAUGUGCUACCCAUGUAGUUUUCUAUCAUAAGGAAAUGCGCGAUGUCUACAGCCAUGCUAACUGUUCUGUGAAGGAGGAAUUGGGUUGUGCUUUGAGCUAAGUGCUAACACAGUUUAGCAUGUUAAACAACUGAGGGUGACGGGAAUGUUGUUGCAGGUAUUUACUCAUAAACCAAAGUAUUGGGCAAAUUGAAAUUUUGACCUGAUGGCAGUAAGACAAAAAACAAAGGGAAUGUCAUGACAAUUAAUCCUUAGGGGAACAUGAGUAUAUAUAUAUAUACACCGAAUUUUAUGGCAAUUCAUCUAAUAGUUGUCGACAAAAGAAAAAUGCUAACUUGUGUGUGCCGCUUGUGGAACUGUUGAGAUUACCAAAGUCAUUAGGAUGCAUCCUCUAAUCUGCCAAUCAAUAAAACAGAUGUUGAGAUAUUUUAUGGACUGACUAGAUGAAAAGUCAGGGGAUCACCAAAGUCAGUAGGACUAAUCCUGUUGGGACUAUCAAUGUCAACAUAUCCAAACUUCAUACAUGUAGUGGUGAAAGAAGCACACCGAUCCUUUACUUAAAUAAAAGUACCAAUACCACAAUGUAACUCAUACUCAAAAUACCCUACUACAGUAAAAGUACACAAGUAUUAGAAGAUAAAUUAAAUAUUAAAAGUACUGGUUCAGCAGGAAAUCUGCCUCUCUGACUGAUGUAUUAUAAUAAAUUACAUUAUUAAUACUUAUGCAUUAAUGUCUGAGCAGCAUUUUGCUGUUGCAGCAGUUUGAUGUGAGGGCCACCAGAUAAAUCUGAAGGGUGGUGAGGUGAUUAAUAGGGUAGAAAUGAAGACAAAACAAUCUCUAUUAUAUAAAUUAAUCUUUUUAGACUUUUCUCUAAAAUGAACAUGAAAUAUAUAGAGUUUUACCUCUUUGUAACUCAAACAUGGAAAGAUGUUUAGAGGGAAAGUGUCUCUUCUCUGACUUUUGAAACAUGACGAAGCUACAACUAGACACUGCCUUUUGCAAGAGGUUACAAGCUAAAAUACGUUGUUAGGCCAUUUAUGUAACUUUAAUCUGAAAAGUAGAAAUAAAGCUGUCAGAUAAAUGUAAUGGAGUUAAAAGUACAAUAAUAAUAAGUAUUUCAGUAAGUUUAGUUACAUUCCACCACUGCAUACAUGAAUUGAUGGGGCUCUGCUUGACCCUCAACUACAUGAUCCCACUGAGAUCAGGUGAGACCAGACUAGUAAGAUGUCAUUUUAAAUCUGUCCCCAAAAUCAAGCUCAUCAGAUAUUCUACAAAUGAAUGUCUUCAUAACAACAGAACAGCUACUGAUCAGUUCAGUAAUGUCUCUAUUUGAUUACAACUCCCAGAUAUUGUAUCGUAGCAAACAGUCCGUAGAUGCCUUUGCCUGUGCGGGCUAGCAGGCUGGGUCAUGAUUUCAAGCAAACAAGCGAAGGAUGACUCAAUUAUCUGAUCAUGAAAGGUGCUCUGGGUCGCCGCACAACAAUCAAGUUUCUGCAUCCUAGUUUGUUCCUUGUGGAGUUCCCUUGUGCCCAUUUUUAAUCAAUAUCUAUUUUGUGUAACUGUGAGUCAGCCAGAUGUGCUAUUGCUCAGCUCCCAGAACAACACACAAUAAUUUGUCAGCACUGGGACAUAACAAAAAAAAAAAGACACCAUUUAUAUUACACUUAAUUGAUUUCUCUAGGGACAGAUUCUCUUUCUCUUCCCCCACA